CUAUGAUCUAAUCACAAGUCCCCUUUCCUAAUUCCACUUAUGAAUGGAACUGCCUGUCAGGAACAGAGUAGAAGUAAAUAUCUUCUCUAACCCCACCCCAGAACCCCUUCUACAGGCAGGAAUGCACAGUGGCAAAUAUUAGUUUCAAGACCUGUUGGAAAACCUUGGGAGCCUGUUUCUACAAUUCUAGAAUUCUGCUAAAAGCUACUUAUUUCUGACUAUAUCCAGCUGGCCUCUGCUAUGUUAGAGAUACAUGUGCAAGGCGAGAACAAGAUACAAAGGCAAGAAACUUUGGCAUCUAGCAGGAAAAUGGUAGAAAUAAUACAUGAGGAAGAUUGGCCAUCUGAAUGCAUUGAAAUUAAGUCAAUUUAUCUCUCUUUGGAAACUUCAGAAUUUUUUGGCUCUUAGGUCAAGUCAUGUGAUUACUCCGAGGUGUACCACCUCUAGAAUCUGUGACUGGUGGAACGUUCAUUCUUUAAAGUCAAGAUGUCACUGAGAGUCAUCCAAUUAUUCUACUAUAAAGAGGAGCUUUUGUUCCCUGAACACUUUCCAUGGAGCUCUGGAGGACGGGAAUGAAAAUGGUGGCCUCCCAAUCUCUGGCCCAGAGGAGUGGAGAGCUCAAGGUUCACUCUUCAGUGCACCCUUGGAGAAAAGCGCUCAAUUGUUCCUGUCUCCCUGGUCUCUGGCUGUACUCUGUGCUCACCCAGCUUGUGACUGAGCAUUUUUGUCUCUGGCACACAGUCUCAUUUGGAGUCUCCAAAUCCAGAAGAUUCCUGCCAUGCUGCUCUUCCCAGAGCAGGAAGAGCCUUUCCAGAAAGUGAUAGAUUGUCUUCCUGGGCCUGGCUGCAGUUUGCCUCCAGACACAAUUUCAUGGCUUACUGGUGAAGUUACUGGAAGAGGAACAGGGUAUGCUGGAAGGACUCCUUCAUAGGAAGCCAAAGACCCUGGCUGUUUCCCAAGAGUACUGGGUGAGACUGUGAAGGAGGUGGGCUUAUUUGAGUGGAUGGAGAGAUAGCUUGUUUCUGCUCGGGCAGAGCUCCACAGACCAGCUGGCAGAUCAAUCAGUGAUACUACAGCCUUGAAAGAAAAUUCAAGAAUAUAGAAAACAGACAUCGUAAGAAGCAAGGUUACUCCUUUCAUCAGUAACUGAAAGGAAUGAAAAAUGAUUGUAUGGAUUCACGUUACUUGGCUUCAGGUACCCUAUUUGUAAAGAAACAGGUUUAUUAUGUCUGGCAUGUUCAGAAAACCCAGGAAAGACUUCCCAGUAACCUGCAGGGUUUACAAUGCAUUAUGUUACCACAGCAUUCUUCCAAAACUCUCCUUCUGGAAUUGAUUUGUCUAGAGACCGACUGGCUUCUUUAAAAUCAAAAGCAAUGAGAAUCAAGAAUUUAGGAGCAGUAUGGCUGAGUGGUUCCAACUUGAGGUUCCCCAUGAAAUUGCAGGGGAGGGAGAAAGAAAGAGAGUGAGUGCACGAGCAGGGGAAGGGGCAGAGGAAGAAGCAGACUCCCCUCGGAACACAGAGUCUGAUGGGAAGCUCCAUCCCAGGACCCUGGAUCAUGACCUGAGGUGAGUGAAGGCUCAUUCACUGAGCCACCCAGGUGUCCCGUAAUUGCAUUUUUUAUAACCCCUCCAAACCCUAAAUCUAAUCUCACCUUCAAAGUGCCU